GACUCGUGCGAUACCGAAGCACACGGGAACGCCUACAGUCUAUUUAUCGUCAAUCGAAAUUUUCAUUUUGACUCGAGAGUUUCUGCUGCACCGAAAUCGAAUUGAUUGAGACACAAUUGUUAAGAAGGAUAAACUUAGCCAUAGAGAAUCCUAAGAGUUAUAAAGACCCGCUCGUAAAUUUCCUUCAAGACUCGUUAAGAUGCCCUUUACUGAGGUUCCGAAGUGAAACUAUGAUUCAACCUGGCGUUUACGAGAAACAGUCGUUUAAAAUCUUAAGUCCAAGUAAAUCAUGGGAACUCAUAAAAGCCACAAGUCCACCAGUUGGGAAUGACAGUUCGCUGCGGCAUUGACAAGAUUGAAAAGCACAUUAAAGUUCAACAGCGAGGCCGAAGAUCGUAACUUGAUUUCGAGUAAUCCAAUAUGCGAGAACGUUACUGCCUUUCAUUGCAUUUGUGUUCACCAAUUGUUGCAGUAAACAAUGAAAAUUUACGAUGCGCUCUAGCUACGAGGGAAUGAAUUUUUAUCUCUAAUAAAUUGCGUACCGAUAAAAAGCUCGAACAAUAAACUAACGCAAAGCUUUUGCCCCUCUUGGUAUCAACCCUUAUCCGAAUAGUGACUAGCACAGGCUUACGAUCGAACGAUACACUUCCUGUUGCGUCCUAAGUGGAAACCUGCAACGCAUCUGAGCAGGGGGAUGCUGAUUUGUAUUCACGAGAUCAAGUCCACGUGUAAAAACCUUUUUCCGCCAAAUCGAACGUAUUAGCGGGACAUAAUCGUUGAUCAAGUAACGAGGUAGCAAUAUAAUGAAAUAAUUGGUGCAGGAGUAAUUAGAACGAGGGAUAAUCUCUAAAUUAAAAAUCAUCCCCUCUUACCAUCGUAUCGCACAGAAACAGAUAAUAACAGUUCCACAAGAUGACAAGGAAUCGGUGGACCUCGGUUUGAUUCUUCAACCGUAAAAUGUCCCUCCUAUAUGUUAAUAAGAAUACGUUGUACAGAGUGGAAAGAAUAUCCAAGCAAACUGCAACUUUAUUAUAUGCAAUAUAAAAUUCAAUGCUGAUAGUAUUACUCGUCAUUUCUGAAAAGAUUCUUCAUAAUGGCUGCCGAUGUAUGAGAAAAGAUUGGACUGAGAUGCAAUUCCUUUUUCCUAUUGCAAUAAAGUAACUUUACGAUAUUCUCUGCAGCCUUCUGUAUCCGCUAUUCGAUACGAAGAAAUUACAUUCUACACAGUUACAGGCACUUAUAAGCAUUGGACAAUAAUGCCACCCCCUAUGGUCACCCUACAAUUUACGUUUAUGAGAAUGAAAAGUACGACUGCAUGGUAGAACAUGGGACUGCGCAUCCAACCCUUAAGAAAAACAUAUUUUCCCACCGAAGUAUGUUCGACAUGAAAAUAUUUUUAUUCCGAGCUUGACUUCCCUCUGUAUGCAGAAAGAAAAUGCAUCCGCAUGCUGGCGCCAGAGAAAAGUUAUCUCGUGAACCUGCAAGAAAACGAAUGGGACGGGAAUUGCAGAAUUUUUUUGCAGUUCUCACGUAAUAGUCAUAAAUUGUAUUCUUCACCGUGGAAAUUCAUGAUGGAUUUUUACCAGGAUAGUGCGUGAAAAUGGAUUUAAGUCGCAUCCAAGUCGAGGACACGAAAAUGAAGAGCUUUCUUGAUGGAGUGGAAACAAGUUCCGUAGUAUCCAAGAUGGAGGGUAAAAAGUGUUUUGCUCAGCGAGACACUUCUCAGUUCUAAUAUUCUGCUGACUAAACUUCAGAAGCUGCCGACUGUAAUCUAGUUCGUCGAGAAGGGUGAAAUUUGAAUUUAAUCCGCCACCAAGAUUAUUGCUAGCAGCACGAUAAUCCGGGAGGAAAAUUUUUGAAAAAGCUGAAGAAUGGCCCCAAGCUCUCGGAAUAUUCCUACGACCCCAGGACCGUCUUCGUGGCUCGGUACGUGGAUGGAAACCAUAGUGGAAUCAAGGCAUUUGCCCGUUCUGGCUACGCUCGGAUGGUACCUAACGCAACGAGGAGCAUAAGGAUCGAUUCACAUGUAUCAGAGAAUGGCUCAGGUCGCGCAUACAUCCUGCUUCCUGAAUUCUCAUCUGGUACUGUUACACGUUUAGGAUAGGUAGCUGUAUUUACCCAGUAAAGGGGUUGCGUACUCUGCAGAGCAGACAACAUCAAGAUGGGAACCUGCAUAGCAUUAAGGGUAGGUUAACAGUUGCAAGAAUUACAGUGUUGCCAUAUCGGAAGGAUGCGUUAAGCCUAACUUUCAACCCUCGACGUACUCUUCGUUCAUCCCUCUGUGAAUGGGAUGGCAUUUAUUGCAACAAGGAUUCUCGGAGGGAACGGAUAAUGCAGGAAGCUGAAUUGUUGGACGCUGGAGUGGUGCAAGGGUUGUAUGGCUAGAAUGUUUGGAUCGCUGAUCAUACCUACCCCUAAUGAGUGCUAAUUGACGGCUGCUGAUUUUCUGGCAAAAUUACAUGGGUCUGUAUGUCAGGGUUGCAGUAGUCAACUCUGAACGGAAACGCAUGGGUAUUCUGUAUGUGUAGUGGGGGAUCAUCAUUUUCAUUAACAUGCAAUGCUCCUGGCAGGCACGUGAUUCAGUGCAGGAUGCGCUAUAGGGGUGUAUUCGUUAGCAACAGUCAGGAAGUCCUUCUGGGUAUAUACGUAGUCUACGGUGGAUGCUGUUUAAAAUUGAGGGAGGAAAUUUGAUGAAGGAAACAAAUUUUGUUAAUUGGGAAUGCUAUCGAUGACUAUAAUUAUUAGUUAGAAAUGGAAAUUUAUAAUAUCCAAGUGUCAAAGUGGCAGAAAUAUGAUCCAGUGGAUAUGAAGAUGGUGCCGAAAAUAUCAUCCGUAACGGCAAAGGAGAGAGAAUUUUUAUUCAGAGGCAGUUAAGGGAACCGGAAGCAGAAGUUCUAACCUGUAGGAAUAAAAUAUGGUCGGGAGUGUGUUGGGAUUCUUUAGGUAUAUUUUUUGCAUAGAUGACGCAAGGGAUGAAAGUGACCCUCGGAAAGGGAGAUAUGACGCCCUUAAAAUGUUUAGCCAAGCUUUCCGACCUGCGGACGAAACAUGAAAAAGCUGGCAAAGGAAAUUGAGGGAAAUGGGGGAAAAGGGUGGCGCACGUGGGUUUUGCUUGGCUAUAAUGAAAAAUUGGAGCACGUGCAAGGUCGGUAGGUGACAAGGGUAUCGCAGAUUUUAUAACCGAGUGUGAAUACGUAUGUACCUAACGCAGCCAUAUAUGUCUGUACCACGUAUGCAUACGUAUAGUCGGCGGAUAAAAUGUGAGGUGGGACGAGUAUCCGUUCUGAAAAGUUUCGCGAGAAAGUUUUGAAAAAAAACCGAGGCAAAUAUACCGCGACAAGCUACGAAUAUCAAAUUUACAAAGCGUGACUAAGAGUCGAAUUUGGAGAGUGCCAUUGAACAUUUUAGCUACUGAUGCUUGGGGAUAGGAGAAGAAACCGGAGUUCGAGAGGAGCGAUCGAAGCAGCUUUACGUUUCUGAUCAUGGUAAAUUCUAAAAAAAAAAGAAUUUGACCCUUUGAAUAAAGAACUUUCGAGGGUGAAUGGUCUCGAUGAAAAAGGAAAAAAAUAAAUAAAUUCCCUGUUCAAUUGAGAACCUCUAUUAAUGUAGGAGAGAUUAGGGCGGUUGAAUUUGUAAGCAUCGCAUCUAAGAAGGCCAUUGUGGCCACAGGGUAACCCAUCUCAUGCGUAUAACCCAACCUAUCAACCAUGCCAGGGGCUUCCUCCUCUCUACACGCAGGUAUAACCAUUUGCCGCAACUCCCUCUAUUCCACUUCCACCCCUUUCAUUAAAAUGAAAAAUAGUCAAUGGCUCCUGGAAUUUUUUUGAGGAAAUUCAAAAACCGGGAAAAUGGUCUGUAUCACGCAGCGGAUGAAUUCUCAAUCUCUAAGAAGUACCACUCUCAGCCUGUUUAUCGCAGUAGUUUAAUAGCUUUAAUUCCUGUUUCGUCCGAGAGAAUCCUCGAAUUUCACCCAUGAAAUUUCGAUUAAACACCAAAGAGAUCGACACGGGAAAUUCGAAGUUUUCGCAAGCUCGCUCUCGGGUCGCGUACAAUAAUGGAGUGACCUGAGUGCGGAAGAAAGGUAAAGCACGGCGUUAUGGAAAUAGCGUGUUAACGUAGAAAGUGGAACGCCCACUCAGGUAUACAGUAUCAAAUGCCAUGAAGUGAAAAGUAAAUGCGAAAAUUCUGCUAAUUAAAAAAUCCCACGAGAAUUAA